UACGUAGGGUGCAAGCGUUAAUCGGAAUUACUGGGCGUAAAGCGUGCGCAGGCGGUUUUGUAAGUCUGACGUGAAAUCCCCGGGCUCAACCUGGGAAUUGCGUUGGAGACUGCAAGGCUGGAGUCUGGCAGAGGGGGGUAGAAUUCCACGUGUAGCAGUGAAAUGCGUAGAGAUGUGGAGGAACACCGAUGGCGAAGGCAGCCCCCUGGGCCUGCACUGACGCUCAUGCACGAAAGCGUGGGGAGCAAACAGG
rnacentral:rRNA from 1 species